UUUUAGAUGGCAGAGGCAUAUGUUUGGAAGGUGCUGUCCAAAGAGCCUUGCGUAGCCCCAGAAGAACUAUCGAGGGGCUCAUUUAAUUGCAUUUGAUGAAGCAAACCUCCAAAUCACUGCUAGCACUGGCAAAGAACUGAAUACGUGAGGAGCCUGACCCGAGGAGAUGAGAACUGCCAGCAGAGAGAAGAGCCAAAGAUUUUAUUCCAGCAUAACUAAUGGAAAUGAGGCAGCAAGCUGUGCACAGCAAGAUCCCACAAAGAAAAAUGUGAUCAAGACCGAAUUUACUUGUUUUAGUGAUGAUGGUUGUGGAAUGAAAGUUGGAAUGUCCUUGAUCUAUUCUGGAAUAGUGCUGCAGGACGCAUUAUGCCCACCUGAGAGGGCAGAAAAUUGGCCUGGCUACCGGGCAGAAAACAGAGUAAAAAUCUUCCUAUAACAGUUGCAUCUCUCUGUUCAUCGUGUUUCUAGGUCCCAGACCUCAGGCAACAACUCCCCUUCCUUUCCACCUCUCCAUUAAGAAGUGCUUAAGUGUUUGUUGAAUUCUCCCCAAGCCACUGA